rnacentral:rRNA from 1 species
UGCCCAACAGCUAGCCCCCCCCAACCAGAAACAACAAACCAACAUUAAUACCCCUAAAUACACUAAUAUUAGUAUUAAACAAACCAUUUUUCCCCCUAAGUAUGUGUGACAGAAAAGGGCCUGUGGAGCCAUAGAGAAAGUACCGCAAGGGAACGCUGAAAGAGAAAUGAAAUAAUCCAGUGAAGCCUAAAGAAGCAGAGAUCCAACCUCGUACCUUUUGCAUCAUGAUUUAGCCAGUGUAACCCAAGCAAAGCGUACUUUAGUUUGACAACCCGAAACUAAGUGAGCUACUCCAAGACAGCCUAUUAAAUAGGGCAAACCCGUCUCUGUGGCAAAAGAGUGGGAAGAGCUUUGAGUAGAGGUGACAGACCUACCGAACUUAGUUAUAGCUGGUUGCCUGGGAAUUGGAUAGAAGUUCAGCCUCCCGGAUUCUUCAUUCACCUCAGCCUUACCCCUCCUGAUACCCCUAAGAAGCCAAGAGAGUUAGUCAAAGGGGGUACAGCCCCUUUGAAUCAAGAUACAACUUUUACAGGAGGGUAAAGAUCAUAAUAUAUUUUAAGGUACAAUAUUUUGGUGGGCCUAAAAGCAGCCAUCCCCAUAGAAAGCGUUAAAGCUCAGAUAUAUUUCUUAAUCCCCCUAUUCUGAUCACCAAAUCUUAUCCCCCUAGUUCUACCAGGCCGUCCCAUGCCAACAUGGGAGUGACCCUGCUAAUAUGAGUAAUAAGAGAGCCUCCGCCUCUCUCCUUGCACGCGUGUACUUCGGAACGGACAACCCACCGAACCUUAACGGCCCCAAACAAAGAGGGUACUGAACAACAGACUAAAAAACUAGAAAAACAUUCAAAAACAACCGUUAACCCCACACAGGCGUGCCCCCAAGGAAAGACUAAAAGAAAGAGAAGGAACUCGGCAAACACAUAAAGCCUCGCCUGUUUACCAAAAACAUCGCCUCUUGUAGAACUUAACAAAUAAGAGGUCCCGCCUGCCCUGUGACUAUUAGUUUAACGGCCGCGGUAUUUUGACCGUGCGAAGGUAGCGCAAUCACUUGUCUUUUAAAUGAAGACCUGUAUGAAUGGCAUAACGAGGGCUUAACUGUCUCCUCUUUCUAGUCAAUGAAAUUGAUCUUCCCGUGCAGAAGCGGGAAUGGUAACAUAAGACGAGAAGACCCUAUGAAGCUUUAGACACCAAGACAGAUCAUGCUAAACACCCCCCAAUAAAGGACUAAACCAAAUGAACCCUGUCCUAAUGUCUUUGGUUGGGGCGACCGCGGGGAAACAAAAAACCCCCACGUGGAAUGGGAGCACCCCUCCUACAACUAUGAGCCCCAGCUCUAGUUAACAGAACUUCUGACCAGUAAGAUCCGGCAGUGCCGAUCAACGAACCGAGUUACUCUAGGGAUAACAGCGCAAUCCUCUUUUAGAGCCCAUAUCGACAAGGGGGUUUACGACCUCGAUGUUGGAUCAGGACAUCCUAAUGGUGCAGCCGCUAUUAAGGGUUCGUUUGUUCAACGAUUAAAGUCCUACGUGAUCUGAGUUCAGACCGGAGUAAUCCAGGUCAGUUUCUAUCUAUGACAUGAUCUUCUCUAGUACGAAAGGACCGAGAAGAGGAGGCCCCUCCCUUAAGUACGCCUCACCCUCACCUAAUGAAAACAACUAAAAUAGGCAAGAGGGCAUUCCCCCCCCCCACCGGAGAAAACGGUAU